AGCCUGUUCUAUGCAUUUAGAAUGACAGAGAAGUAGAUGAUUAUGUGUUCACGAACAAAAGAGGCUUUUCUUAUAUUACAGGAGAGAAGCCCUAAAUUAUCUGUGAGUUUAUAUAGUAAUGGACAUAGCUGCAUGCCACCAUCUUCAGAGAGAAAGAAGAAACAGUUUCUCUCGAAUAAAAACAAAUCUGUGAUUAAAAAGAGGAAAGAUCCUAGUUUAAAAGCAGAACGAAGAGAAUGACGUAGAAGUUCAUCCUUCUUUUCCACUGCUCAGAAGGCCAGAUCCUGCAGAAUACCGAGAAACACAUGCAGACCUUCAUUUCUGCGGUAUCUUGUACAACUUUUCAAAACAUAAAAUAUGAAGUGAGUGUCUGUUGCUGGAUAAUUAGAACCUUGGUCUGCCUCUGUACAUCAGGUGACAUCUGUGGAAGAAGCUAUCGGUUGGGCUCCUUCAUCUCAGAAGAAUGGCUCUACCAACUCUUUGCCAGUGUUUCUCAGGGCUAUGGACAACAGCAAGCCUCGAGAGGAAAUAGCAUUGACAAAUCUCCAAGACUUUCAGGUUUACACCAUAAGUCAAUAAAAUCAUCUACUACAUAUCAUAAGAAGACUCUUGCUGUCUCUCUGAACAAGAUAUUUCUACAGGAAGCACAAAAAACACAUUUUUUAAUGAAUCAGUCUCCAAAAUUUCUCAAAAGAAGAGAAUGAGAGCAUAUAUAUUUCAAGUAUCAGUGGACGAUCAUCCCACCACUUUUUACAUGGAAUAGUCUUUGAAGUUAGCACUAUUUUUGUGGAAUAGAUUUUGCUUUAUCUUCAGGAAAGAAUAAAAGAAAUGGAAAAUGUUAGGGCUGACUGAUGAGUUC
rnacentral:lncRNA from 1 species